CUCAUGGCAAGGGUGAUGAUUCAAUUAGAUGUGUGAAAGGAUUAAUCCUUUCUGAACUUAACUUUUUGAGGCAUUUUCAUUUGUCUGACUUGCCCGAG
rfam:Cucumis sativus cultivar 9930 chromosome 6, whole genome shotgun sequence.